rnacentral:rRNA from 1 species
AAAAAAGCGUUAAAGCUUUCUUACUUCAAGUCAAAAUUUCUUACACACCCUCAAACCCGUAAUUUACUACUGAAUGACUUCAUAAUUUUAUGAAAACCUAUAUGUUAAAACUAGUAACAAGAAGAAGCCCUUCUCCAAAAUGUAAGCUUAAGCCACAAUGAACAAAGCACUGGCACUUAAAGUCUAUAAUCCACUAGUAGUAACCCCUCAAGAAAACACUACUGCUUAUAACGUCAACCUUACACUAGUACAUUUUUGGAAAGAUUAAAAAAAUGGGAAGGAACUCGGCAAAUAAUUAACCCCGCCUGUUUACCAAAAACAUCGCCUUCUGAAACCUAUAGAAGGUCCAGCCUGCCCAGUGACAAAGUUAAACGGCCGCGGUACCCUAACCGUGCAAAGGUAGCGCAAUCACUUGUUCUUUAAAUGAGGACUAGUAUGAAUGGCAUCACGAGGGUUACACUGUCUCCCCACUUUAAUCAGUGAAACUGAUCUCCCCGUGAAGAAGCGGGGAUAAACAUAUAAGACGAGAAGACCCCAUGGAGCUUUAAACUCAGUACCACCUGCCACUUAAAAAACCUAUAAACCACGCAGCUUUGAUUACUAGUUUUUGGUUGGGGUGACCGCGGAGUAAAAUAAAACCUCCACAACGAAAGGAACUAAUAUCCUAAUAUAAGAGCUACACCUCUAAGAAUUAAUAAAUUAACUAAACUGACCCAAUUAAUUGAUCAAUGAACCAAGUUACCCUGGGGAUAACAGCGCAAUCCAUUUCAAGAGCCCCUAUCGACAAAUGGGUUUACGACCUCGAUGUUGGAUCAGGGUGUCCAAGUGGCGCAGCCGCUACUAACGGUUC